rnacentral:tRNA from 1 species
GCCUAUUUAACUCAAUUGGUAGAGUAUCGGUUUUGUAAACCGAAUGUUAUCGGUUCAAGCCCGAUAAUAGGC